UGGGGAAUAUUGCACAAUGGGCGGAAGCCUGAUGCAGCGACGCCGCGUGAGGGAUGAAGGCCUUCGGGUUGUAAACCUCUUUCAGCAGGGACGAAGCGUGAGUGACGGUACCUGCAGAAGAAGCACCGGCUAACUACGUGC
rnacentral:rRNA from 1 species